UUUAUGGAGAGUUUGAUCCUGGCUCAGGAUGAACGCUGGCGGCGUGCCUAAUACAUGCAAGUCGAGCGAACGGACGAGAAGCUUGCUUCUCUGAUGUUAGCGGCGGACGGGUGAGUAACACGUGGAUAACCUACCUAUAAGACUGGGAUAACUUCGGGAAACCGGAGCUAAUACCGGAUAAUAUUUUGAACCGCAUGGUUCAAAAGUAAAAGACGGUCUUGCUGUCACUUAUAGAUGGAUCCGCGCUGCAUUAGCUAGUUGGUAAGGUAACGGCUUACCAAGGCAACGAUGCAUAGCCGACCUGAGAGGGUGAUCGGCCACACUGGAACUGAGACACGGUCCAGACUCCUACGGGAGGCAGCAGUAGGGAAUCUUCCGCAAUGGGCGAAAGCCUGACGGAGCAACGCCGCGUGAGUGAUGAAGGUCUUCGGAUCGUAAAACUCUGUUAUUAGGGAAGAACAUAUGUGUAAGUAACUGUGUACAUCUUGACGGUACCUAAUCAGAAAGCCACGGCUAACUACGUGCCAGCAGCCGCGGUAAUACGUAGGUGGCAAGCGUUAUCCGGAAUUAUUGGGCGUAAAGCGCGCGUAGGCGGUUUUUUAAGUCUGAUGUGAAAGCCCACGGCUCAACCGUGGAGGGUCAUUGGAAACUGGAAAACUUGAGUGCAGAAGAGGAAAGUGGAAUUCCAUGUGUAGCGGUGAAAUGCGCAGAGAUAUGGAGGAACACCAGUGGCGAAGGCGACUUUCUGGUCUGUAACUGACGCUGAUGUGCGAAAGCGUGGGGAUCAAACAGGAUUAGAUACCCUGGUAGUCCACGCCGUAAACGAUGAGUGCUAAGUGUUAGGGGGUUUCCGCCCCUUAGUGCUGCAGCUAACGCAUUAAGCACUCCGCCUGGGGAGUACGACCGCAAGGUUGAAACUCAAAGGAAUUGACGGGGACCCGCACAAGCGGUGGAGCAUGUGGUUUAAUUCGAAGCAACGCGAAGAACCUUACCAAAUCUUGACAUCCUUUGACAACUCUAGAGAUAGAGCCUUCCCCUUCGGGGGACAAAGUGACAGGUGGUGCAUGGUUGUCGUCAGCUCGUGUCGUGAGAUGUUGGGUUAAGUCCCGCAACGAGCGCAACCCUUAAGCUUAGUUGCCAUCAUUAAGUUGGGCACUCUAAGUUGACUGCCGGUGACAAACCGGAGGAAGGUGGGGAUGACGUCAAAUCAUCAUGCCCCUUAUGAUUUGGGCUACACACGUGCUACAAUGGACAAUACAAAGGGCAGCGAAACCGCGAGGUCAAGCAAAUCCCAUAAAGUUGUUCUCAGUUCGGAUUGUAGUCUGCAACUCGACUACAUGAAGCUGGAAUCGCUAGUAAUCGUAGAUCAGCAUGCUACGGUGAAUACGUUCCCGGGUCUUGUACACACCGCCCGUCACACCACGAGAGUUUGUAACACCCGAAGCCGGUGGAGUAACCUUUUAGGAGCUAGCCGUCGAAGGUGGGACAAAUGAUUGGGGUGAAGUCGUAACAAGGUAGCCGUAUCGGAAGGUGCGGCUGGAUCACCUCCUUUCU
rnacentral:rRNA from 1 species